rnacentral:rRNA from 1 species
UACGGGGGGGGCAAGCGUUGUUCGGAAUUACUGGGCGUAAAGGGUUCGUAGGCGGUGCGGCAAGUUGGGAGUGAAAUCUCUGGGCUUAACCCAGAGGCUGCUUCCAAAACUGCUGUGCUUGAGUGUGGGAGAGGCGCGUGGAAUUGCAGGUGUAGCGGUGAAAUGCGUAGAUAUCUGCAGGAACACCCGUGGCGAAAGCGGCGCGCUGGACCACUACUGACGCUGAGGAACGAAAGCUAGGGGAGCAAACAGG